GGUAAAGAGGAAACCUGUUUCAUCCUUCUCUAAGUGGAUCCUGACUUCCCUCCAUGCUCUCAUGUACUCCCACAUAGAGAGAAGUGACUGAUCAAGUUAGUGAAAUUUGGAGGAGGACCUGGACUUCAAAGCUCAGCCUCUUUCUUGCUUUUUCUCUCUGGCACUUGCCUGUCUGAGAGGGUGCAUGCAUUAGUCUGCUCCUCCACGUGGUAAGUCUUAAAGAGUGAGCUUCCCCCACGGGAAGGCCUGUAGUCAUCCAGUGCUACCUGUGGCUGGGUGAACAAGAGUAACUUUCUCUGGGGUUCGGCAUUAAGAAGCCCAUUGUUUCUGGUCACCUAAACCACAUCUUCUGUCUUAGACUUUGUUAGCACUGAAUCAGAUAUUUUAACCUUCACCUUCCUUAAUUUUUUGUUCUCUCAUUUUCCAAUUUAUUUAUAAACUCAAGUGAGAAAAACAAGGGUGAAAUUUGUGGAGCCUCCACAAAUCAUGAGACUGCUGUGGCUUAAUUUUAUAAUUUUAAAAGAGAAACCAAAAGAUCAUAUUUUUGGGGGGGGGUAUGAAAAACUCCUGAUUCUGAAGUGUUGGCAAAGGACUCACAUAUUUUAAAACUUCUGCGUGCCAAAUGAAAUAGUUUAUCUGUAGGCCAGUUUGCACCCGAUGCCACCAGCUUGCAGUUUUACUCUAAACCCUAUGGUUUGGGGUCAGUAUAAGUAUCCAUAUUUCUGUCCCAGCCCCUCGUGAGAAAUCCAGUUGUCAUGUAAAGUGUGGAUUUAUAAUAUCUGAACUACCCAACCAUCCCUCUCUAGCAGCGUCUCCUGGAGGCUAGACCCUAUUCUCUUCACCCUCCUUCUCUUCCCAGCUACAGACUCUAGCUCUUUUUCAAGCUAGCUGUAGCACCCACCAGCACCCAGAAUUACCACUCCUUGGAGAUCUCUGCAGACUUGCCUCAUCUACCAGCUCUGAUCUCUUGGAUAAAUGAUGAUGCACUAUGAAUCCUUAAUCAUAAAGACUUAUGUAACUGGCCAUCACCACUCCUUUUCUGUAGGAGGGAAAAGUCUAAAUAACCCAUAUUCGUCUCCAUCUCCAGAUUGUUCCUCUCUCCCAGCCUACCUCUUACUGGGGUCCCCAAAUGCAAGGUAUUAACAUGGACCCUGUAAAAUUUGGGUAAAUUCUAUUUCUUUUCUUCUCUCUCUUUCCCACUUGCUAUGUGGCCACUGAUAGGAUUUUUUUCCUCUUUCUUUUAUCAAACAGGAAUCACUGAUAUUAAUGUGUUGUAGAUUCCUUGUUUCCAUCUCUUUUGGCCCAUAGUUUAUUCUUGCUUUCCUUCAAGUCACGUGCUCCACUGACCUUCUCUUUCCCUGGAUCUUUAUUCAGCCAGUCUGAGAGCAGCCUCCAGGAAGGGCAGUCUUAAUUAAUUUGGUUUAAUUGUGGGUUAUUUUCCAAAGCUUAGACAAAUCAGUACGACAACAUCUCAACCUCCCCUGGGACCACCCAUUUAGUCUUUGACCCAGCUUCUUUGACUUUUUUCCAGCCAUCUGUUUUCCUUGGGUAAAGAGAGUCAGUUUUAAUGUCUACAUGUUUUUUCUUUCAUCUGCGUUUUUGGCACCUCUAGUUCAUUCGCAGUUAACUCCAGAAGGGAAACAUUUACCAUCCCUCAGCAGCUGUUCAGUCCUGGAGGAGGAAGUGGAGAGUCUUGUUUCUCUUCCACUGGCCUGUUCUCCCUUAUCCUGGCUAUAGCUAUUCCAUCAUCCUCACACUCCAGCCUGCUUGACACCUGGGUGCAUUGAUUUGUGCCUUGGAAUAAGAACAAUAGCUUCGGAGCUCAACUCUUGUUGAUUCAUCUCAUAAUGUAUAAGGAUUCUGAAUCCCAGUAUAUGGUCCAAGACUCAGAGUACAGAGGUUGGAAUUCCACCUUUGACUCCACCAGUCAUCAUAUAAACCACCUCAUCAAGUUGGACCUCACUUUCUGCAUCUGUGAGAUGAGAGAACCAAUCUGUAACAGAGAUCCUGAAUUCAAAUGUCUUUAGAUUUAUACAGAAAAAAGGAAAGCAGAAGCUGCUAACCAGAGAAACUCUGCUCUGAUGAAGCUGGGCAUGACAGGGGCUUAAAACUGGGAAGACAUGCCCUACCUAAAGAUGUUGCUGGCUCAGCUAAGUCUAUCUGCAAGCUCCUUGGCUGAAGAUUAACUUCGGCUGACCAUUUGUGAGUACAGUACCUUAAGACCUGACAUACUGUAAACCCUAAGGCUCCCAUGUUACAAGUGCUUUCUUCUGAAUUAUUUGCCAUUAAAUAAUAUUUAAAAUAGAAUAUUAGAUGUAAUGUGAUGAAAGAUUUGAUAUAAUUUUAAUAAUCACACUAGCCAGCUCUUUGCUCAUAGUUGGAGAUAACACCAUAGUAUGGAGCUGAUUUACUAGUGUGGAGCCAUCACUGGAGUGGGAGCAGAUAUGCAUUGCAAAAAGGGUGUAGCACAAAUUUUGUGGCCUGAGAAAAUAUAAACUCUCAAAAUACUGUUUGCUUAUACAGAGCUGGAAUUUGGAGAAGGCUGGAUAAAAUGUGCAAAGAUGACAAUGACUUCAAGGAAGAUGGAUAUGAGCAUCCCCUAUAUCUUGAUUUUCCCAUUAUUAGAAAUUCCCUGAUGGUUUGGAAUGGGCUUAGCUGCCUGAAUAAGUGCAAAGAAGCAUACGGAGUCUUAUCUGUACACUUUGUCUCAAACAUGGGCCCAAAAGUUCUUGGAAGAGGGCCAGUUAUAGCACAAUAUGCUGAAGUUGUAGCCAUAUUGACAUGGAGGUAUGCUUGGAGGCCAGUGGCUAAGGAAGUAUAUAUGAAUAAAGAUUAAUACAAAGCCAAAUCUCAAGAAUUGUAUGGCUAGUAUAGGAAUCUACACCAGUGAUGUUAUCACAAAUAUUUGUAAGGUCAUGCUGGACAGACUUCAGUAGAGACAUGUAAUGGCAGCAGUAACGGUGGUGGACUGCUCUCACUCUCCAGUUCUCUCACUACCUUGCAUUUGGAAGGAUAGCUCAUCAGUCACCAUUUAAAAUACAUAAGUCCAGAUGUGCUUGGAAAAUUCAGAGUGGAGAAUGCCUCCAGAGAGGGGGAAAAAACAGAUUUUGUGAUAAUACGAGAAUGUUAGUUCUUAAGCAAAAAUUUUAGAAGCAAAAUAUAUUGUAUCCAUUAGCAAUUGCCACAAUAAUAGUGUAUGACAAGUAAUCAUGGCAUUUCAGUAGCAUUCAGCAAUAAGCAUUCUCUUGGAUUUAUGAGUUCACUAGAGUUUGGCUGAUCUAAGCUGAGCAUAGCCACCUUGCUUCUCAUUGUGAAUCUCUGGGUCAGCUGCAUCAGCUCUGUUCUACUGUCUCUCAUCCUUCUUGGACCAUCAGGAUAGCUGUGGCAUGUUCUUCCAAUGGUGUGGUAGAGGUGCCAGAGAGAAUAUUCAAAUGUACAAGUACAUUUUAAGCCCUUGCUUGUGUCAUGUUUUCUAACAUCCCAUUAGCCAAAGACGUUACAUAGCUAAGCUCAAAGUGAAGGGACAGGAAAGUAUAUUUCUCCAAUAGAGGAACAAAAAGUUAUAUGGCAGAGGCAUGAAGAAUCAAGGCCAAUAAUUGAAUCUACAACAGAUGUGAACAUAUUUUGUAUCCUGAAUGGAGAGGAAAAGGGUUUAUCAGAUAAUUAUAGAUUUGGAUGAGCUUCAAGGAUUUAUAAGUUGCUUGUAAAAUAAAACACAUUGCAUUUUGCUAUAGUGAUAUGAGGUUGACAAAUAUAUAAAACCUCCUAUGUGUGAUGUGUAUUUAUGUGCAUAUACACACAUGCUCCUAUCAAUUCUAAGUUGAAUUCUGUGGUAGACACUCUAACGGAUCAUCAAAGAUUCAUGCUUUCCCUUUAAUAUUUAGGAUUUUGCUAAAAAGUGGCUGCACACCCAGGAACUAGAUUUUUUCCUAGUCUCCCUUACUUCUAGAUGGUGCCGAGUGACAUUCUUGCCUAUGAAAGGGAAAAGAAGAGGGUUAAUCAAAAGCACAGGUACAUUUGCUCAGGCCAGGUUAAUUAAGACGUGGAUAUCCCUUCUCCACCUGCUUGUCCCCACCUUCCCAGUGGAUGCAGAAGAUUCUGAACCCCUAUCUAACAACUUAGUCUCCAGUUGAAACAACUGUAGGUCUCUGAAUCUUGUGGAAGACCAUGUGCUCACCAGGAAUGCUUACACACUGUUACCAUCAUGAAAAAAUGAACCUCCAUUGGGCUUGUGUUAUCCACUAAAUUGGGGUAAACAUUUCUUACACAAACUAAAAAAGUCAUAUAGAGAAGUUGUGGAAGACCCUCUUCUCACUUGAAAGAAUUUAUAGAGAAGAAUAAAAUAACUGAAGAACACAUUUAUUGCACAUCUACCAUGUACAUGACUCACAGCCUAUACAUUAAACAGUUAAAUGUUUCAGAUCUGUGAUAUGGUCCAAUGAGUUAUAAGACUGGAGUAGAAGGAGAAGCGGAUUCUUCUAUCAUCUGCUACACUGAGCUGUGCAAAUGGUAGAUGAAGAAAAUACCAAAAAUCUUCUAUUUUGACAAGGUGAGACAUACAUGAAAACUACAGAGCCUUGUUAUACAGGUCAGAGACAGAACAAAUCUAGGACCCUUUACAACAGACUAGAAUACAAUAGAAUAGAAUAUGUGAAUGAAUUUAAACAAAGGAAGUGCCCAGUUAUCUCAGGGGCAGUUCAGAUGCAAACAUAUAUUAUAAAAAUUAAGUAAGAGGAGUGAGCAACCAGACCCCUGAGACACUGCCUUAGGGAACCCACUCUUAUUUGAGACACCUCAACCCUAGACAACAGAUAGGGAUGACUGUAGUAUAGAGGGAAAAUUGUGGGUUAUUGGGCUGCUGAGGAAGGUGUUAGGAGGGAGGCAGAUAUUUGCAAAAGAGGAGUGAUGGUGUAAAAAUUUGGUAUAAGCAGUGGUGUUGAUAGCCACAUAUGCUGGGAAGGAACUGGGCUAAAACUACAUCUAUAGCAAGAUAAGAUCUUAAAAUAUUCUUUUUGUGUCUUUCUUUUCUUCCCCACACUUCCUGACUUGUCCAAAAAGUACACUUCAAGGGGAAUUAGCAUUUUUAUAGGAGGAAUGCAAAAAGAAAAUAAGUUAUCCUUUCUUGUUUUUCUUAGCCAAAAUAGAUGAAGUCAAAAGGCAGGGACUAAGUGGGUGGACCCUACAAAUAAAUGAAAGACGUGUGUUUAUGUGUAAAGGGCGUACACGGGCAGGUUCAGGAAAGGUCUGUCUCAGGCUGAGAGUUUGGACUCAAAUAGGAGAAGACUCGGUGUGUUACUUCAUAUAAAUAUUUUUCCAAGAACACAAUGGAAGAAGUAUCUCUGUUUAUUCUUUUGGUAGCAACUUCAAGCUGAGACUGCCAGAGGGAGAGCUGGGGAUUAUCUUCUGUUUUCAACCAAAUAAACAGCUAUCUCAGGCAUUCUGAUGUUAACCAUUGCUUUUAUGCUUUCCCUCCAGAAGAAAACCAGUUUGUAAAUUAAUGAAAUGUUUCUCCACUGAAGCUGACUCAGAGGGUUGCUUGUCUUGAGUUCCCAGGAUUCAGAUGGUUUUAUCAUUUUGCUUGAUGGAUAAGAAAUCAGCCAACUUCGUAAAAAGGGAUGAUGUCAUUCCAGAAACAGUUUAGUAGAGCCAGUCUCAUUUCUCCCUGGUCAUGCCUUUGGCUUGGAAACUGUUUUGGAGCCUUCAACAUAGUGAGGCUGACUGUCAGGAGUGGUCCUCUUCUCUAGUAGCAGUUUAAAUUUUAAAGCAAAUAGUCCAACCCAUUUUGCAAGAAUUGGGAGAUACAGUAGGUUCACCAAAUGCUAAAACGCUGUAUGUGAUAUCCCUUGCUAGGAGAAUUUUCCUUCAUACAUAAUUGUCAUAGGCCAUUUGGUUUCCUUAACACAUAUGCAAAUUAGAUAGAAUAGAGAGUAGCCGUAACCAACUCCAUAUUUCUCUUCAUUCCUUGUAUUAGUUUCCUAUGGUCAUUAUAGCUUAUUGACACUAGCUUAGUGCCUUAAAACACAUAAAUUUAUUAUUUUACAUUCUGAAGGUCAGAAGUCCUAAAUAGGUCUCAUUCAUAUUUAUAAAAAUAGGAGGCAGGCUGGAUUUGCCCUGUGAGCCAUAGUUUGCUAAUUGGAUAAGCUGAUAAAUUAGUGACCAUGUCAUAGUUAUUGUGUUACUUGAGCAAAAAAUAACGUGCACAGAUUGAGGACUUAAUAAAUGUUAUUUUGUUUAAAUGAUCUAAGAUGUCUCCUCUAGAAUAUACCUGGAGUUUGGUACAACCUCUCUGGAGGGCAGUUUGGCAAUUGCUCUUAAAAUUGGAACAAGCAAUUGACUUCUAGGAAUUUAUGGUCCAGCUGUAUUCUGUUGGGUCUUGGAAGAAAUGCAAAGGUUUUAAUUGCACCAUUGUAAUAGCACACAGUUGGGGAUCACCUUUGUUUCUUUCAAUAAGAAAUUGCUUAAGUCUUUUCUUAUGGCUUUAAUGUGAAGACUGUAUAUAUCAUAUCUUUUGGGGAGGGGUUGAAAGGAUAUUGUGUGUAUAUUUCCAUGAACAUUAAAUUUCCUGUGAAGCUGUUCAGUACAUGGUUAGGACUUAACAUCUUUGGGUUAUGACUAGUAAUUGGGAGUGAGGAAUACUUUUACUUUUCAUUUUAUUUUUUUUUUUUGUACUUUCCUCUCAUGUCCAUGUAUCAUUUAU
rnacentral:lncRNA from 1 species